ACUGCAGGCUGCAACCCGCCUGCACGAAGUUGGAAUUGCUAGUAAUCGUGGAUCAGCAUGCCACGGUGAAUACGUUCCCGGGCCUUGUACACACCGCCCGUCACACCAUGGGAGUCGGUAACACCCGAAGCCGAUAGUCUAACGAAAGAGGACGUCGUCGAAGGUGGGAUUGAUGACUGGGGUGAAGUCGUAACAAGGUAUC
rnacentral:rRNA from 1 species